GGCCCGGGUGGACGGGGCCGCGCGUCCCAGGCUGUCGGCCCGGGUGGACGAAGGGUGUGCGCGGUCGCGCUCACGGUCGCUGCGCGACCUGCGCUUCC
rnacentral:tRNA from 1 species